UGAUGAUUGUGGCAUCUCUCCAUGGAUUUCGCGUGACGCAAACUGCCUACGAACCUAAUGCCAAGGCUGAGGG
rnacentral:snoRNA from 1 species